UACGUAGGGUGCAAGCGUUAAUCGGAAUUACUGGGCGUAAAGCGUGCGCAGGCGCUUGUGCAAGACAGAUGUGAAAUCCCCGGGCUCAACCUGGGAAUUGCAUUUGUGACUGCACGGCUAGAGUGUGUCAGAGGGGGGUAGAAUUCCACGUGUAGCAGUGAAAUGCGUAGAGAUGUGGAGGAAUACCGAUGGCGAAGGCAGCCCCCUGGGAUAACACUGACGCUCAUGCACGAAAGCGUGGGGAGCAAACAGG
rnacentral:rRNA from 1 species